CCUACGGGAGGCAGCAGUGGGGAAUAUUGGACAAUGGGCGAAAGCCUGAUCCAGCAAUGCCGCGUGAGUGAUGAAGGCCUUAGGGUCGUAAAGCUCUUUUACCAGGGAUGAUAAUGACAGUACCUGGAGAAUAAGCUCCGGCUAACUCCGUGCCAGCAGCCGCGGUAAUACGGAGGGAGCUAGCGUUGUUCGGAAUUACUGGGCGUAAAGCGUGCGUAGGCGGUUAUUCAAGUCAGAGGUGAAAGCCCGGGGCUCAACCCCGGAACGGCCUUUGAAACUAGAUAACUAGAAUCUUGGAGAGGUCAGUGGAAUUCCGAGUGUAGAGGUGAAAUUCGUAGAUAUUCGGAAGAACACCAGUGGCGAAGGCGACUGACUGGACAAGUAUUGACGCUGAGGUACGAAAGCGUGGGGAGCAAACAGGAUUAGAUACCCUGGUAGUCCACGCCGUAAACGAUGAUAACUAGNUGUCGACACUGUGUUGGUGGCGCNGCUACGCAUAAGUUAUCCGUCCGUGGGAGGUACGGUCGCGAGAGUAAACGUAACGAAAGAAAGUAGACGGUCGUGUAGACGUUAGUCCGAACGGACGACGACGAGGGAGGAGG
rnacentral:rRNA from 1 species